rnacentral:rRNA from 1 species
GAUGAACGCUGGCUGUGUGCCUAAUACAUGCAUGUCGUGCGAAGCAUUUCGGUGCUUAGCGGCGAAUGGGUGAGUAACACGUACUUAACCUACCUCAUAGUUUGGGACAACAUUUGGAAACGAAUGCUAAUACCGAAUAUGCUAUCAAGUGGCAUCACUUGAUAAUGAAAGAUCCGUUUGGAUUGCUAAGAGAUGGGAGUGCGUACUACUAGUUAGUUAGGUUAGGGU